rnacentral:rRNA from 1 species
AAAGCGCACGUAGGCGGCUUUGUAAGUCAGAGGUGAAAGCCUGGAGCUCAACUCCAGAACUGCCUUUGAGACUGCAUCGCUUGAAUCCAGGAGAGGUGAGUGGAAUUCCGAGUGUAGAGGUGAAAUUCGUAGAUAUUCGGAAGAACACCAGUGGCGAAGGCGGCUCACUGGACUGGUAUUGACGCUGAGGUGCGAAAGCGUGGGGAGCAAACAGGAUUAGAUACCCCUGU